UACGUAGGGUCCGAGCGUUGUCCGGAAUUACUGGGCGUAAAGGCUCGUAGGCGGCCAACUAAGUCAUACGUGAAAUCCCUCAGCUUAACUGGGGAACUGCGUGUGAUACUGGAUGGCUUGGAUUUGGGAGAGGGAUGCGGAAUUCCAGGUGUAGCGGUGAAAUGCGUAGAUAUCUGGAGGAACACCGGUGGCGAAGGCGGCAUCCUGGACCAAUAUUGACGCUGAGGAGCGAAAGCCAGGGGAGCAAACGGGAUUAGAAACCCGGUGAUACCAG
rnacentral:rRNA from 1 species